rnacentral:ncRNA from 1 species
GAUGGGGAUAGAUCAUUGCAAUUGUUGGUCUUCAACGAGGAAUGCCUAGUAAGCGCGAGUCAUCAGCUCGCGUUGACUACGUCCCUGCCCUUUGUACACACCGCCCGUCGCUCCUACCGAUUGAAUGGUCUGGUGAAGUGUUCGGAUCGCGGCGACGGGGGCGGUUCGCCGCCCCCGACGUCGCGAGAAGUCCAUUGAAUCUUAUCAUUUAGAGGAAGGAGAAGUCGUAACAAGGUUUCCGUAGGUGAACCUGCGGAAGGAUCAUUG